GACAGAGGCCUCAAGCGUUUAGGCGGAAUCACUGGGCUUAAAGCGUGUGUAGGCGGAUCGUUAAGUGUCUUGUGAAAUCCCACGGCUCACCCGUGGAACGGCUGGGCAUACUGGCGAUCUUGGGCCAACUAGGGGCAACUGGAACAAGCGGUGGAGCGGUGAAAUGCGUAGAUAUCGCUUGGAACGCCGAAGGUGAAAACAGGUUGCUGGGGUUGUGCCGACGCUGAGACACGAAAAGCCCAGGGGGAGCAAACGGGG
rnacentral:rRNA from 1 species